AAACUUACUGGGGGAACAAAACGAGACGUUUCAGUGUUCUGCCUCCGCAGUCCUCUACGAGUCUCCUCGUCUAGCGAUCAUUCCUACACGGUAGUGGAGAGAGCGAGGGAAAUGAGCACUGGUGGCGGUAGCCAAGACGGAGAAGAUUUAUGGGCAACAGUCGCAAGAGCAGCGGAUGAUCUCUAUGCUCUUCGGGACACCUAUUUCCCGUCAAAUCCGCUUGACAAAAUCUCGAAAUUGCAAACACAAUCCGAUCUCUCUCUCAGCCUCCUUGAUUCCAUUCCUAUCGAACAAAGGAAAUCAUCCAUACAACGUGCAACAUAUGAGUAUUUAAGAGGAAAGAUACUGGAUGUAUUACCUGAGUAUAGGAAAGAAGCAGAGGACCAUCUCUCAAAAGCUGUCAAGUUGAAUCCAUCUCUUGCUGAUGCUUGGCUGUGUUUGGGUAACUGCAUUUGGAAGAAGGGAGAUCUAUCCUCAGCAAAGAAUUGUUUCAAUCUUGCACUGAGCAAGGGUCCAAACAAGAAGAUACUUUGCCUUUUAUCCAUGCUUGAAAGAAGAAUGGCACAAGGUGCUGAAAAUCAGGCUAAACUUGUCGAGGAAAGCAUUCAACAUGCCAAGAAUGCUAUCUCUUUAGAUGUGAAGGAUGGGUACUCUUGGUUUAAUCACAUUGACAGACAACCUAGGAAAUGCAUUCUUGACAAGUUUUUUCAUGACUGGAGCAUGGGAUCAUAGCAAGCUUCUACAAGCUUUAAAAGCGUACCAGAAUGCGGAGAAAGAUGAGGGAAUGAAGUCCAAUCCAGACCUUUAUUUUAACUCAGCUACAGUCAACAAAUACUUAGAGAAUUAUGAGAGGGCUCUUAGUGGAUUUGAAGCUGCUGCCUUGAAGGAUCCUAGUCUCAAUGCUACCGAGGAGGUUCAAAAGAUGGUUAAUCUUCUGGAUAAGUUAGAGAAUUUGUUGCGGGGACAAGCUAGAGCUAAACGACUUGCAUCUAUGGCUUCAUCUUUGGCAGCUGUUAAUUGUAAGCUACCUCAUUCUUAUGUUUUAAAGUUAAUAGUCAAAUUUGAGUUCUGAUUGUAUCUUUCUAAUCUUAAAGGGAGUGUACUAAUGAUUGUGCAUCAUCUUCAUCUGUAAGUUAAUUCAUCAUAUAAAAGAAUCACUGUUGAUCUGUUGUUGGAUGGCCUCAACAAAGCAGUAGCCGUAGCAGGGAAAGUUCUUCUUUUUGUUAAGCAUGAUAAUGUCACUCCCCUGUAAGUCCUCCGCUGAAACCUUUUGGUUAUUUUUUUCCUAUCCAAAUGAACCCAAUGUAAGCUCCAGCUACUUGUGCUUUCAACUUGUAUUUUUUGUCUAUAAAACUUCUUUAGAUUGGCUGUUAUAGCAUGAACUCAAUGUGAAUGCCUUCAUGGUAAUGCCCGCACAUGUUUAUGUAAGAACAGUGGUUUUGGCAUGCGUAGCUUUAUCACCAAGGGAAUCCUUACUUAUUACUUAGGUCUGGUUCAUAUCUCUGGUGUGGCCAACUAACAUUGUGAGGACCAGCUCAUUAAAUAGUUUAAAUAUUACCAAACUGAUACAUAAUUCUUACUUUGUGAAUCUUGGUAAUGUAAAUCUUGUUGAAAUAAAUAAAUUGAUAUUCUCUUUUUCUUUUCAUUUUUUUCCCAGAUACUAUUUGGUGUGUGACUCAAAUCAAAUAUGCUUUGUUCUAUCUGUGUAUGGCAUAAGCAAUGAUGCGAUUAAAGAAGGAGAUCAGCUAACACUAUUGGAGCCUCAUUAUCAUUUUGUUGAUUUUGCUUGGAAGGAAAAGCAUUACCAUUUCAAAUCAAUUCGCGUGGAUUUCAUAGAGCAAGUUCUUGUGAAUGGGAAAGCUCUGUUGCCGAAUCAGGCAGUUCGAUCAUCAAUUUAUGCUCAACAUAAGCCAUGAAAAGUUGUUUCAAGUAUAUUGAGAGUUUUGUACUUAAAAGUGGAGUUUUGUUGAUCUUUUCAUUGAUUUGUUUGAUGUGUUGUUGUAAAUAGAUUAGUGGAUAGAGAAGCAAAAAGAAAUGCAUGAGUAUAGAUUCUUGCUCAAGUUAAAUUCAAAUUGUCCAACUGAAAAAAAAAAAAGGGAUUCAAACACCGUAUUGAGAUCUUCAUGCGUUUGUUUAUGGUUUAUUGGGUUCUUACUGUGCUUAUUGUUCUACACAGUAAUUGAAGAUUUCAUGCUAAAUUUGCAUUUGCUUAUUGUUCCAG
rnacentral:misc_RNA from 1 species